UAGUGGCGCACGGGUGCGUAACGCGUGGGAAUCUGCCCCUUGGUUCGGAAUAACAGUUGGAAACGACUGCUAAUACCGGAUGAUGACGUAAGUCCAAAGAUUUAUCGCCGAGGGAUGAGCCCGCGUAGGAUUAGGUAGUUGGUGUGGUAAAGGCGCACCAAGCCGACGAUCCUUAGCUGGUCUGAGAGGAUGAUCAGCCACACUGGGACUGAGACACGGCCCAGACUCCUACGGGAGGCAGCAGUGGGGAAUAUUGGACAAUGGGCGAAAGCCUGAUCCAGCAAUGCCGCGUGAGUGAUGAAGGCCUUAGGGUUGUAAAGCUCUUUUACCCGGGAUGAUAAUGACAGUACCGGGAGAAUAAGCUCCGGCUAACUCCGUGCCAGCAGCCGCGGUAAUACGGAGGGAGCUAGCGUUAUUCGGAAUUACUGGGCGUAAAGCGCACGUAGGCGGCUUUGUAAGUAAGAGGUGAAAGCCCAGAGCUCAACUCUGGAAUUGCCUUUUAGACUGCAUCGCUUGAAUCAUGGAGAGGUCAGUGGAAUUCCGAGUGUAGAGGUGAAAUUCGUAGAUAUUCGGAAGAACACCAGUGGCGAAGGCGGCUGACUGGACAUGUAUUGACGCUGAGGUGC
rnacentral:rRNA from 1 species